rnacentral:rRNA from 1 species
UACGGGGGGAGCAAGCGUUGUUCGGAUUUACUGGGCGUAAAGGGCGCGUAGGCGGCCACCGCAAGUCGACUGUGAAAUCUCUGGGCUUAACCCAGAACGGUCAGCCGAUACUGCGGGGCUAGAGUGCAGAAGGGGCAACUGGAAUUCUCGGUGUAGCGGUGAAAUGCGUAGAUAUCAGGAAGAACACCUAUGGCGAAGGCAGCUCUCUGGGACGGUACUGACGCUGAGACGCGAAAGCGUGGGGAGCGAACAGG